rnacentral:rRNA from 1 species
GACGAACGCUGGCGGCGUGCUUAACACAUGCAAGUCGAACGGAAAGGCCCUGCUUUUGUGGGGUGCUCGAGUGGCGAACGGGUGAGUAACACGUGAGUAACCUGCCCUUGACUUUGGGAUAACUUCAGGAAACUGGGGCUAAUACCGGAUAGGAGCUCCUGCUGCAUGGUGGGGGUUGGAAAGUUUCGGCGGUUGGGGAUGGACUCGCGGCUUAUCAGCUUGUUGGUGGGGUAGUGGCUUACCAAGGCUUUGACGGGUAGCCGGCCUGAGAGGGUGACCGGCCACAUUGGGACUGAGGUACGGCCCAGACUCCUACGGGAGGCAGCAGUGGGGAAUAUUGCGCGAUGGGCGGAAGCCUGAUGCAGCAACUCCGCGUGCGGGAUGACGGCUGUCGGGUUGUAAACCGCUUUCGCCUGUGACGAAGCGUGAGUGACGGUAAUGGGUAAAGAAGCACCGGCUAACUACGUG